rnacentral:rRNA from 1 species
GCAGUCGAGCGGUAACAUUUCUAGCUUGCUAGAAGAUGACGAGCGGCGGACGGGUGAGUAAUGCUUGGGAACAUGCCUUGAGGUGGGGGACAACCAUUGGAAACGAUGGCUAAUACCGCAUAAUGUCUACGGACCAAAGGGGGCUUCGGCUCUCGCCUUUAGAUUGGCCCAAGUGGGAUUAGCUAGUUGGUGAGGUAAAGGCUCACCAAGGCGACGAUCCCUAGCUGGUUUGAGAGGAUGAUCAGCCACACUGGAACUGAGACACGGUCCAGACUCCUACGGGAGGCAGCAGUGGGGAAUAUUGCACAAUGGGCGCAAGCCUGAUGCAGCCAUGCCGCGUGUGUGAAGAAGGCCUUCGGGUUGUAAAGCACUUUCAGUCAGGAGGAAAGGUUAGUAGUUAAUACCUGCUAGCUGUGACGUUACUGACAGAAGAAGCACCGGCUAACUCCGUGCCAGCAGCCGCGGUAAUACGGAGGGUGCGAGCGUUAAUCGGAAUUACUGGGCGUAAAGCGUACGCAGGCGGUUUGUUAAGCGAGAUGUGAAAGCCCCGGGCUUAACCUGGGAACUGCAU